CUGAAUGGCCUUCUGGGCCUUCAACCUUGUAAACCUGUGGAAGCAAGAUGUGCUUUGGCGCUUUGCGCCCACUUUUUAUGCUUUAAUAAGUCUUUGUGUCUGAAUUAAAUACAAGAAAUA
rnacentral:misc_RNA from 1 species